AUACGGAGGAUGCGAGCGUUAUCCGGAUUUAUUGGGUUUAAAGGGAGCGUAGGUGGGAUAUUAAGUCAGCUGUGAAAGUUUGAGGCUCAACCUUAAAAUUGCAGUUGAUACUGGUUUCCUUGAGUACGGUAUAGGUGGGCGGAAUUCGUGGUGUAGCGGUGAAAUGCUUAGAUAUCACGAAGAACUCCGAUCGCGAAGGCAGCUCACCGGGCCGGAACUGACACUGAUGCUCGAAAGUGCGGGUAUCAAACAGGAUUAGAUACCCUGGUAGUCCGCACAGUAAACGAUGAAUACUCGCUGUUUGCGAUACACUGUAAGCGGCCAAGCGAAAGCGUUAAGUAUUCCACCUGGGGAGUACGCCGGCAACGGUGAAACUCAAAUGAAUUGGCGGG
rnacentral:rRNA from 1 species